rnacentral:rRNA from 1 species
GAUGAACGCUAGCUACAGGCUUAACACAUGCAAGCCGAGGGGAAACGACAUCGAAAGCUUGCUUUUGAUGGGCGUCGACCGGCGCACGGGUGAGUAACGCGUAUCCAACCUGCCCACCACUUGGGGAUAACCUUGCGAAAGUAAGACUAAUACCCAAUGAUAUCUCUAGAAGACAUCUGAAAGAGAUUAAAGAUUUAUCGGUGAUGGAUGGGGAUGCGUCUGAUUAGCUUGUUGGCGGGGUAACGGCCCACCAAGGCUACGAUCAGUAGGGGGUCUGAGAAGAAGGGCCCCCACAUUGGAACUGAGACACGGUCCAAACUCCUACGGGAGGCAGCAGUGAGGAAUAUUGGUCAAUGGGCGAGAGCCUGAACCAGCCAAGUAGCGUGCAGGAUGACGGCCCUAUGGGUUGUAAACUGCUUUUAUAAGGGAAUAAAGUGAGCCUCGUGAGGCUUUUUGCAUGUACCUUAUGAAUAAGGACCGGCUAAUUCCGUGCCAGCCGCCGCCGUAA